GAUGAACGCUANCGGGAGGCCUAACACAUGCAAGCCGAGCGGUAGAGUUUCUUCGGAAACUUGAGAGCGGCGCACGGGUGCGGAACACGUGUGCAACCUGCCUUUAUCUGGGGGAUAGCCUUUCGAAAGGAAGAUUAAUACCCCAUAAUAUACUGAAUGGCAUCAUUCGGUAUUGAAAACUCCGGUGGAUAGAGAUGGGCACGCGCAAGAUUAGAUAGUUGGUGAGGUAACGGCUCACCAAGUCUGCGAUCUUUAGGGGGCCUGAGAGGGUGAUCCCCCACACUGGUACUGAGACACGGACCAGACUCCUACGGGAGGCAGCAGUGAGGAAUAUUGGACAAUGGGUGAGAGCCUGAUCCAGCCAUCCCGCGUGAAGGACGACGGCCCUAUGGGUUGUAAACUUCUUUUGUAUAGGGAUAAACCUACUCUCGUGAGAGUAGCUGAAGGUACUAUACGAAUAAGCACCGGCUAACUCCGUGCCAGCAGCCGCGGUAAUACGGAGGGUGCAAGCGUUAUCCGGAUUUAUUGGGUUUAAAGGGUCCGUAGGCGGAUCUGUAAGUCAGUGGUGAAAUCUCACAGCUUAACUGUGAAACUGCCAUUGAUACUGCAGGUCUUGAGUGUUAUUGAAGUAGCUGGAAUAAGUAGUGUAGCGGUGAAAUGCAUAGAUAUUACUUAGAACACCAAUUGCGAAGGCAGGUUACUAAGCAACAACUGACGCUGAUGGACGAAAGCGUGGGGAGCGAACAGGAUUAGAUACCCUGGUAGUCCACGCCGUAAACGAUGCCUAACUCGUUUUUGGGUUUUCGGAUUCAGAGACUAAGCGAAAGUGAUAAGUUAGCCACCUGGGGAGUACGAACGCAAGUUUGAAACUCAAAGGAAUUGACGGGGGCCCGCACAAGCGGUGGAUUAUGUGGUUUAAUUCGAUGAUACGCGAGGAACCUUACCAAGGCUUAAAUGGGAAAUGACAGGUUUAGAAAUAGACUUUUCUUCGGACAUUUUUCAAGGUGCUGCAUGGUUGUCGUCAGCUCGUGCCGUGAGGUGUUAGGUUAAGUCCUGCAACGAGCGCAACCCCUGUCACUAGUUGCCAUCAUUAAGUUGGG
rnacentral:rRNA from 1 species